ACAUCCUGUGUGCUUUGUCAUUUGUGUGAUGCUUCGGCGAACAUUGGCCGGGCACUGUGUGAUCGCACGCCCGAGUGUUGUUGCGUCUAAAUUGAACUCUCGAUUGGGUCCAACAAGAAGCAAUUUGAUCCCCACUCUCGUGUGACUCACUUCGCUUGCAAUAUUUCUUCCCCUCUCCCGUUGGAGAGCCUUAGAUAUGCUCGAUUCCUACUACCUAUUUCGUGUGAAUAGGUGGCGAGCCAAACUACCAACAACCAGCGCCAUAACUUCCCUGGCUCCAGCUAUAGUGGCAUGUCUUUCCUUAAUGGUACAUUCUCUCUCUUCCCUUUCUGCUCGUCUACGCUCGCUUCUCUCUCUCUCGUCAACCCUCUCUGUCUUUCUUUCAAUAGGCCAGCUUAUUGAAAGACUACCAAGUAAUUAGUCGAAGCAUUAAUUAUUUUGGCAUCGACUAUUUUGUUACAUGAGCAUCCGAUAAAUGGGGUGGGCCCCACGAAUUCAACCGGAGGCGGUUCGACGGGUCACGCGCCCGAAUGAUUAAAAUCCGGAUCGAACCUUAGUCACAUUUCGAACCCCACGCAAACCCCCGUGGCGCGACCGUGCCCUAAUCGCAGAACUGAUCUUUUUCUUCGGCGACUGCGGCGUCGCCUCAGUGAACGACGGCUGCCUUCCUCUCCAUCGGGAAACAGCGACAGUUGGCGGUGGCGUCUUCCCCUCCCGGGAUAUAGCGUGCUUCACAGUUUCUGAUGCUACUAACUACAAUAGAUAAAUAGUGGAAGGUAGUGUCAGUGCGCAUGUGUCAUAUCAAGACAUUAUUUCAGUGGUGGAGAAUUGCUUGGAUGUGAGCAUGAUAAUAAGUAAAUGAUCAAAGGUACUCUUAAUCAACGCUCAAAACACCAUUUAGAGACUUAAAUCUGAAAGAAAUGGUUUAUGGGAACCAAAUGUAGGUGGAUUUACGUGAGGAAUUUUAUCUGAUACAGAUGAUCAGCUGGAAGUUUUCCAACUUCCUUUUGGUUGGAAGCAGAUACAGAAAAUAUAUUUAGUUUGGAUAUGCUUGAUCUGAGGUAGAAGAGGAGUUGGACUUAGAGAGGGCAGCAAUAAGAUUAGUUUUUUUGUAUUUUUCUGCAAACAGCACACGAUACUCUGCUUCAAAAGAUGAUGUUUUUGUUGCAAAAAAGGCUCUUUUGGCUUUUCCCAUGUAACAAUUCCUCCAUUUAUCUUUCCUCCUAUCAACUUUGCAGCCUGUUUAACUUUUCCACUGCCAAAGACCAAAGUUCAGAGCACAGAACCAACUUUAUAGUGGUCAACCCCCUUCAAUCAUGUGAACUUUCCUCUGAAAAGACUGCAAAAACAGCCAAAUAUCACACCUGUCAUAAAAAAUCUUCGAGUCUUUCCAUUGAGUUCUUUAAGCAGAACGGUUGGAGCGAUGUACAAGUCAUGAAACUUACCCAGAAGGAACCCAAGUUGCUCUGUGCUAAUGUAGAGACUACACUGAAACCCAGGAUGAGAUCUUUGCAGGACAUGGGAUUUUCUGGUACUGAAAUAGUUCAGUUGCUUUCAACAUGUCCGGAUGUACUCUUGCGUAAUAUCCAACCGAAGUUGAACUUCUUGAAGUCACUACUUGGUUCUAAUGAAAGGUUACUGAAAGCCUGCAGGAGGAACCGAUUUCUUCUUACUUCUAGCUUAGCUCAGAAGAUAGAGCCCAAUAUAUCUCUCUUAAGGGAAUGUGGCAUCAGUGAUGAAUGCAUCGCGCGUAUGGUGGUGUUGAAUCCGGGUUUUGUUGUUCGAAAAACCAAAUUUAUUAAGGAAGUUAUGGAACAUGUUGAGGAGUUGGGUGUGCCACAUGAUUGUGGAAUGUUCCCUCAUGCACUUCUUACUGUCUUGAACUUGAGCAGAUCUAAGUGUGAUGCUACCUUUGCAACCUUGAAGAGCUUUGGUUGGUCCCAGCCAGACAUCGUUGCCAUACUCAGGAAGAACCCAUGUAUUUGGAAACUCUCAAAGAAGAACAUAUCUGACAAGAUGACAUUCCUGUUGAAGGAUGCUGGUUGUGAGCUGCAGUAUAUCAUUUGCCAUCCUGGGAUUCUUUCAUAUAGCUUGGAGAAGAGGUUGAGACCGCGACAUGAAGUUAUAAAUUUUCUUGAGCAGAAUAAAUUGCUGGAUAAAGGACAUAGCCUUUUAUAUUUCAUGCCACUAAGUGAGCAGAAGUUCAUGAACCAAUUUCUUUUCCCGUACAAGGAGAAAUUUACUGCUCUCUAUGAUGCCUAUGUUGCUGCUGUGCAGGGAAAGCACAAUGUUGUCGCUGAAAAUUAGGAUUGCAAGUGCUUCCUCGAGACAAAGUGUCAACCUAUUGCUCUGCACUAUUUAAUCAUCUUAAAUUUGUGACAAUUUAUAAUCUUCAGGAGUUUCGUCUGAGUAGAACAUCACUGUUGAUUUUGAUAUUUUAUUUCUAAUUAUCUUUUGAUACCUUUUUAUUUUUUA